AUGGAUAAGGCAUACAUUGCCGUCCUCUCCUUCGCCUUCCUCUUCCUGCUCCACUACAUUCUGGGCAAGAAGAGCAAUGGCAGCAAGGGCGCCGUGCAGCUGCCGCCGAGCCCUCCGGCCAUCCCGUUCUUCGGCCACCUCCACCUCGUGGAGAAGCCGCUGCACGCCGCGCUGUGCCGUCUGGGGGCGCGCUACGGGCCGGUCUUCUCGCUGCGGCUCGGCGCGCGCAACGCCGUGGUGGUGUCCUCGCCGGCGUGCGCCAGGGAGUGCUUCACGGAGCACGACGUGGCCUUCGCCAACCGGCCGCAGUUCCCCUCGCAGAUGCUCGUCUCCUACGGCGGCACCUCGCUCGUCAGCUCCAGCUACGGCCCGCACUGGCGCAACCUCCGCCGCGUGGCCGCCGUGCGGCUGCUCUCCGCGCACCGCGUCGCCGGCAUGUCGGGCGUCAUCGCCGCUGAGGUGCGCGCCAUGGCGCGCCGGCUGUGCCGCGCCGCCGCGGCGUCCACCGGCGGCGGCGCCGCCCGGGUGGAGCUCAAGCGGAGUCUCUUCGAGCUCUCCCUCAGCGUGCUCAUGGAGACCAUCGCGCAGACCAAGGGGACCCGCCCGGAGGCGGACGGCGACACGGACAUGUCCCUGGAGGCGCAGGAGUUCAAGCAGGUGGUGGACGAGAUCAUCCCGCUCAUUGGCGCGGCCAACGUGUGGGACUACCUGCCGGUGAUGCGGUGGUUCGACGUGUCCGGCGUGAGGAGCAGGAUCCUGGCCACGGUGAGCAGGAGGGACGCCUUCCUCCAUCGGCUCAUCGACGCGGAGCGACGGAGGAUGGACGAGGGCGGCGCCGGCGACGAGGGCGAGAAAAAGAGCAUGAUUGCCGUGCUCCUCACUCUGCAGAAGACAGAGCCGGAGCUGUACACUGAUCAGAUGAUCAUCGCUCUGUGUGCGAAUCUCUUUGUGGCCGGAACGGAGACCACCUCAACCACGAUAGAAUGGGCCAUGUCGCUCCUGCUGAACCACCCGGCGGCGCUCAAGAAGGCCCAGGCCGAGAUGGACGCGUCCAUCGGGGCCUCCCGCAUGGUCGCCGCCGACGACGUGCCCCGCCUCAGCUACCUCCAGUGCAUCAUCAACGAGACGCUACGCCUGUACCCGGCGGCGCCGCUGCUGCUGCCGCACGAGUCCUCCGCCGACUGCAAGGUCGGCGGCUACGACGUGCCAAGCGGCACGAUGCUGAUCGUGAACGCGUACGCCAUCCACAGGGACCCGGCCGUGUGGGAGGACCCGGCGGCGUUCCGGCCGGAGCGGUUCGAGGACGGCAAGGCCGACGGGCUGCUGCUGAUGCCGUUCGGGAUGGGGCGGCGGAGGUGCCCCGGCGAGACGCUGGCGCUGCAGACGGUCGGGGUGGUUCUCGGGACGCUGGUGCAGUGCUUCGACUGGGAUCGGGUGGACGGCGCGGAGGUGGACAUGACGGAGGGGGUGGGGAUCACCAUGCCCAAGGCCGUGGCUUUGGAGGCCGUGUGUAGGCCUCGCGCGGCCAUGGGCGAUGUCCUUCAGAAGCUCUGA
rnacentral:rRNA from 1 species